rnacentral:rRNA from 1 species
AGGUCAAGCAAGAAAGAGCACAGGGUGAAUGCCUUGGCACUGGGAGCCGAUGAAAGACGUGGUAAGCUGCGAAAAGCUUCGGGGAGGCGCAAACAGCCAUCGAUCCGGAGAUUUCUGAAUGGGGAAACCUACUUGAGCAAACCUCAAGUAUCCAUACGUGAAUCCAUAGCGUAUGGAAGGGAACGUUGUGAACUGAAACAUCUAAGUAGCAAUAGGAGGAGAAAGAAAAAUCGAUUUCCUAAGUAGCGGCGAGCGAAAGGGAAAGAGGCCAAACCGAAGGACCUGGUUCUUCGGGGUUGUGGACUGCAUCAAGCGAUGGAGGCUAUGGUAGUCGAACUGUUUUGGGAAAGCAGACCAGAGACGGUGAAAGUCCGGUAGACGAAACCAGAAGACCCGCUGCAGGAUCCAGAGUACCACGGGACACGAGAAACCCUGUGGGAAGCCGGGGGGACCACCCCCCAAGCCUAAAUACUCCCCAGUGACCGAUAGUGAAGCAGUACUGUGAAGGAAAGGUGAAAAGAACCCCGGGAGGGGAGUGAAAAAGAACCUGAAACCUUGUGCUUACAAACAGUCAGAGGUCUACGGACUGAUGGCGUACUUUUUGUAGAACGGUCCGGCGAGUUACUAAUGCCAGCGAGGUUAAGUGGUCAGAAGCCACGGAGCCGAAGGGAAACCAAGUCUGAACAGGGCGUAAAGUUAGUAUUAGUAGACCCGAAACCGGGUGACCUAUCCAUGUCCAGGUUGAAGGAGCCGUAAAAGGCUUUGGAGGACCGAACACACAUCUGUUGAAAAAGGUGGUGAUGAGGUGUGGAUAGCGGAGAAAUUCCAAUCGAACUCGGAGAUAGCUGGUUCUCCUCGAAAUAGCUUUAGGGCUAGCCUCGAGAUGGAGUCUAACGGAGGUAAAGCACUGAACUGACGCGGGGCCCAAAAAGGUUACCAACUCAUAUCAAACUAAGAAUGCCGUCAAGAUACCCUCGGGAGUCAGUCUGCGUGAGAUAAGUCGCGUGGACAAAAGGGAAAGAGCCCAGACCGACAGCUAAGGUCCCAAAGUACGUGUUAAGUGGAAAAGGAUGUGGGAUUUCAUAGACAACUAGGAUGUUGGCUUAGAAGCAGCCAUACAUUUAAAGAGUGCGUAACAGCUCACUAGUCGAGAAAACCUGCGCCGAAAAUUUAACGGGGCUAAAACACGACACCGAAGCUACGGCUUGACAGCUAACGCUGUUAGGGGUAGAGGAGCAUCCUGCAAGGACGAAGCCAAAGUGGAAACGAUGGUGGACGAAACAGGAGAGAGAAUGCCGGAAUGAGUAGCGAGAUAGAAGUAAGAAACUUCUAGGCCGAAUAUCUAAGGUUUCCUGGGUAAAGCUAAUCUUCCCAGGGUUAGUCGGGGCCUAAGGCGAGGACGAAAGUCGUAGUCGAUGGAUAACAGGUUGAUAUUCCUGUACUACGUAUCAUCAGAACUGUGGGGACGCAGGAGGAUAGGAAAACCGGGGAAUGGAAAAACCCGGCUAAGCACAAAGUCAAGGGAGAUAGGCAAAUCCGUCUCUUGAUGAUGAAGUGCGAUGGGGACUGAACAAAAGUAGGGAAGUUUCCGAAUCCACACUGUCGAGAAAAGCCGCUAUUGUGUGAUACGUACCCGUACCGUAAACCGACACAGGUAGAUGAGGAGAAAAUCCACAGGCCGACGGGAGAAGUGUUGUUAAGGAACUCGGCAAAAUGACCCCGUAACUUAGGGAGAAGGGGAGCCACGCAAGUGGCCGCAGAAAAGAGGCUCAAGCGACUGUUUAGCAAAAACACAGGUCUCUGCGAAACCGAAAGGUGAAGUAUAGGGGCUGACACCUGCCCGGUGCUGGAAGGUUAAAAGGAGAGGUUCGACGUAAGUCAAAGCUUUGAAUUCAAGCCCCAGUAAACGGCGGCCGUAACUAUAACGGUCCUAAGGUAGCGAAAUUCCUUGUCAGGUAAGUUCUGACCCGCACGAAAGGUGUAACGAUUUGAGCACUGUCUCGACAACACGCCCGGUGAAAUUGAAGAACCAGUGAAGAUACUGGUUACCCGCAACAGGACGGAAAGACCCCAUGGAGCUUUACUGCAGCCUGAUACUGGGAUUCGAUGAUAUAUGUACAGGAUAGGAGGGAGACUAGGAAUCCGGGACGCCAGUUUCGGAGGAGUCGACGGUGGGAUACCUCUCUUAUGUUAUUGGAUUUCUAACUUGGCACCGUGAUCCGGUGUGAGGACAAUGUCAGGCGGGCAGUUUGACUGGGGCGGUCGCCUCCUAAAAGGUAACGGAGGCGCUCGAAGGUCACCUCAGAAUGAUUGGAAACCAUUCAAAGAGUGUAAAGGCAAAAGGUGGCUUGACUGCGACACCGACGGGUGGAGCAGGUACGAAAGUAGGACUUAGUGAUCCGGUGGUAAUAAGUGGGAAUGCCAUCGCUCAACGGAUAAAAGCUACCCUGGGGAUAACAGGCUUAUCUCCCCCAAGAGUUCACAUCGACGGGGAGGUUUGGCACCUCGAUGUCGGCUCAUCGCAUCCUGGGGCUGAAGUAGGUCCCAAGGGUUGGGCUGUUCGCCCAUUAAAGCGGUACGCGAGCUGGGUUCAGAACGUCGUGAGACAGUUCGGUCCCUAUCCGUUGUGGGCGCAGGAAAUUUGAGAGGAGCUGUCCUUAGUACGAGAGGACCGGGAUGGACGUACCUCUGGUGUACCGGUUGCAGACCAACUGCACAGCCGGGUAGCUAUGUAUGGAACGGAUAAACGCUGAAGGCAUCUAAGCGUGAAGCCGCCCUCAAGAUAAGAUUUCCCAUUCUUCGGAAGUAAGAUCCCUUAAAGAUAAUGAGGUAGAUAGGUUGGAGGUGUAAGCACGGUAACGUGUUCAGCUGACCAAUACUAAUAGAUCGAGGGCUUGACCUAAUAA